CCUACGGGUGGCAGCAGUGGGGAAUAUUGGACAAUGGGCGAAAGCCUGAUCCAGCCAUGCCGCGUGUGUGAAGAAGGCCUUCGGGUUGUAAAGCACUUUCAGUGGGGAAGAAAGCCUUGGGGCUAAUACCCUCGAGGAAGGACAUCACCCACAGAAGAAGCACCGGCUAACUCCGUGCCAGCAGCCGCGGUAAUACGGAGGGUGCGAGCGUUAAUCGGAAUUACUGGGCGUAAAGCGCGCGUAGGCGGUCUGAUAAGCCGGUUGUGAAAGCCCCGGGCUCAACCUGGGAACGGCAUCCGGAACUGUCAGGCUAGAGUGCAGGAGAGGAAGGUAGAAUUCCCGGUGUAGCGGUGAAAUGCGUAGAGAUCGGGAGGAAUACCAGUGGCGAAGGCGGCCUUCUGGACUGACACUGACGCUGAGGUGCGAAAGCGUGGGUAGCAAACAGGAUUGGAUACCCUAGUAGUC
rnacentral:rRNA from 1 species